rnacentral:lncRNA from 9 species
AUGAACGCACAGGAGAUGUGUGUGCAUACACGCAAAACCGGCCACAGAGGUGCUCUCACCAGAGGCCAUCCGAAGCGGAAUGCUCUUGUCCUCGCCAACAUCAACCAACCCUUAACUGAAAGGUGCAUCUCUUCGUGGCUGAGGCUGGAGGCAGGAGGGCCAGGAGGUGCUCACACUGCCAGCUGUGUGACCAUGGCUCGUGUCCCUUGGCCUCUGGGACCUACAUGCCUCCCUCAUCUCUGGGUUAAGAUCUGGCUGUUGGAGCUGCACCCCGACCCCCUCCGCUUACCGCACACAGACAACGCCCCCAGGCCUGCACCCGGAGCUCAGGACAGGAAGGGCAUGAGGCGCCUCUGCCCCUCGGUGUUUCACCCGCUUACCCGGCACCUCUUCCAUCUCCCAGCCCAACUCUCCUCCCAACCCGCUCCCAGCCCCUGACGCUGUGCCUGGUCUGCCUGUAUUUCCGUCAGAGCUCCCUUGGAGGCAAGGAACAGAGACCCACUCAAGCUGGUUCAACAACGAAGCGUGUGAGGGAGCGGGAGGGUGGGUACAAUCUCUCUAAGGAGACCCCGAUGGCACGGCGCCCCCGGGAGAGCCCGUGUUCUCUCUCUCCGAGUCUCUGCUCCUCUCUGCGUAUCUUCUCCAUUCUCCUCUUUCUCUUGACCGCUUUCCUCCUAACUUUUGCUCAUAGAGGAUCCCUCACAUGUGGCCCAGCUCCAAGGUCGGCUUAAGCCUUUUGGUCCCACCUUAAAUGGUGGCUCAGACUCUCUGCUCCCCCAUAGCACACUCCUAAGAGGGGGAGCUGAUUGCUCAAGCGUACCCCCAGCCAGGCCACAGGAGUCCUGCAUAGGGCACCAACCUGCCAAUGAAGGGCCCAUCACUGGUGAAAUGCCCACCAAUCCUGCUGCAAUUGCACAAGACUGGGAAGGGCAGGGUCUCCUGGACAUUUAGGGUUGCAGGAGCGAUGGGCAGGGCUAACUCCCCGUGGGUGGGCAGGCACAUGGUUAGCACCUCUAGUCCGGCAGGUCUGGAAACUCUGCUCUGAAGAAAACCUGGACCAAAGAAUCCCGUCUACUUAUAAGUACUUGCAAAUCCUACAGAUAUUCGUGUGCCCUGAACGAUAUUCAGAGACUCUUAGGAUCGUCAGGUCUUGGCGUUCCUGUUGUGGCGCAGUGGUUAGUGAACCCGACUAGGAACCAUGAGGUUGCGGGUUCGAUCCCUGGCCAUGCUCAGUGGGUUAAGGAUCCGGUGUUGCCGUGAGCUGUGGUAUAGAUCACAGACGUGGCUUGGACCCCGAGUUGCUGUGGCUGUGGUGUAGGCUGGCAACUGUAGCUCGGAUUAGACCCCUAGCUUGGGAACCUCCAUAUGCCGCAGGUGUGGCCCUAAAAAGACAAAAGACAAAAAAAAAAAAUUUGUCAGGUCUUAAGGUCCGCUAGGCAUAUUAAUACCUGGCCUUGGCCCUGUCAUUUUUUUCCCCCACUGCCUCUUUUUAAGUACCUUGGUUGAAACAAAGUUUUGUAUAGCCACACAAUGGAAUAUAAGUCAGCCAUACAAAGGGACGAAGUACUGAUAACAUGACAUGGGGUCAUCUUGAAAACAUUAUGCUAAGGCAAGAAGCUAAUCACAGAAGACCACAUACUAUCUGGUCUUUUUGAGGUCCUGAAACUUGUAAAAUUCUAGAAUUAACUCUGGUGAUAGUUGCACACAUCUGUUAAUAUACUAAAAUUCACAUCUCAAAAACUCGAAGUGGCAGAACUGCAAAGAGCCUUUUUUUGAAAUUGUUCAACUGAAAGAAAAAUAUUAGACACUUUAACUUCCAAUUCACUUAGCCUCGUCCUGAGAUGAGUCAUGAAAUACACAGAGAUACAGAUCCCAGCAAGAGAUAGUCCAGCGUGGUAGUGAAAUUCCAUCCCAGAGCACAUGGGCCUCUCACACCCAGUUUGAAGAAUGAAAGCGUAAGGGGAUACGUGCACGGACGGUGGCCUUAGACCCUGCCAAGGAGUCGUUCAAGUUUAACAGAGCACCUGCUCUUGCUUGUGGGACGGGGUGCAUUUAGAUGCAGGACUGGCUGUGGCCAGGAGGUCAGAAUUUAUUUUAGAAAAAGGGGAAAGUGGCCCAGCUUGUUUGACUGACCCAUGAGUGAUUUUCCGCAUCACAGCUGCAUUUGUAGGACUUCAGGUUGUCAUCUCAAAGUGUUUUGAAAGGUAAGAGGAGCAGUGCUGUGCUUUUAAAACUACGAGCAUAAAAGAAACACGGGGGAAAGUCCAGUGUAGCUGUGUAGGAAAGAACCAGCCGUAGCGCAAGGUUUUUCAAGGCUGACCUUCAUAGAGGCUAAUUUAUACUCAUUAAAAAAGUUCAGUGUCUGUUAGAAGUCUUCAAACAUAUUUAACCAUUAUGGAUUUCGUGGAGUAUUUUUUUUUAUGGCCACACCCUCGGCAUAUGGAAGUUCCCAGGCCAGGGAUCGAAUCUGAGCUGGAGCCGCAACAAUGCUGGGUCCUUUAAGCCACUGCGUGGGGGAUCAAACCCAUGCUUCUGCAGCAACCCCAGCCACUGAAGUCAGAGUCUUAAUCCACUGCGCCACAGUGGGAACUCCAACCAUUAUAUAUUUUGAAGAUUAUAACCUAGAGCUAGCUCACCAACAUGGGCUUAUGGAUCACUCAUGGCAAAUAGCAGAAAACAUAAUUUGGUUUUCGCAGUGAGUUGGUGCUGAAAAAAAAAGUCACCAAAAUAUGAUUUAUAUGCUGAUUUAGCAUUUAUUACAAAAUUGUAAAAUACAGAAAUCAGAUCACUUUAAUUGACACUAAAAAGUACAACAUAUGGAGUUCCCUGUGGCCUAGUGGUUAAGGAUCUGGCAUUGUCACUGUUGUGGCAUGGGUUCCAUCCCUGGCCUGGGAACUUCCAGGUGCCACAGGUGUGGCCCCCCUCCCAAAAAGCAGUGCAGCACACAGCAAGAUAAAGCUAUACUUCUUUACAUUUUUGUAUGAAAUAUGAUAUGUACCAUAAGACAUUUAAAAAUGAGAACAGUGGAGUUCCCGUCGUGGCGCAGUGGUUAACUAAUCCGACUAGGAACCAUGAGGUUGCGGGUUUGGUCCCUGCCCUUGCUCAGUGGGUUAAGGAUCCGGCGUUGCCAUGAGCUGUGGUGUAGGUCGCAGACGCGGCUCGGAUCCCGCGUUGCUGUGGCUCUGGCGUAGGCCGGUGACUACAGCUCCGAUUCAACCCCUAGCCUGGGAAACUCCAUAUGCCGCGGGAGCAGCCCAAAGAAAUAGCAAGAGACAAAAUAAAUAAAUUAAUUAAUUAAUUAAAAAAAUAAAUAAAACAUAAAAAUGAGAACAGUGAGGUAUUCUUUUCAGCAAAUCCCCCAUGACACCCACUUUGCCUCAUUUAGGAAGGAGGGUCCAUGAUCCCCAUGUGAGGCUAUUAAUAAUAAAAUACUACAUGUAUUCUUGAACUCGCUUUUUCCUGCCUGCUGGUGUGAAGAUCCUGUUUUAAAAAGGUCUGUGUAGGAGUUCCCACUGUGGCGCAGCAGAAACGAACCCGACUAGUAUCCAUGAGGAUGUGGGUUCAAUCCCUGGCCUCACUCAGUGGGUUGGGGAUCCUGAACUGCUGUGAGCUACGGUGUGGGCCACAGACGAGGCUCAGAUCUGGCAUCGCUGUGGCUGUGGUGUAGGCCUGCAGCUGUAGCUUCAAUUCGACCCCUAGCCUGGGAACCUCCAUAUGCUGCAAGUGCAGCCCUAAAAAAACAAAAACAAAAACAAAACAAACAAACAAACAAAAAACCAUAAAAAGGUCUGCAUAGCCAAAGGAAGAACACAAACUGGCAACAUUUGGAAACUCUUAGAAUAGACUCUGAAACUCAUGAAUUAUUUGGUAUUCUGCAGCUGUUUCCCUCCAGUUUUUAGAGAUGGGGUUGGUUCAAACACUUUGAAGUGUUUUGGCUUCUUGCUCGCUGGAUGCAGAUAGAGUUUGAAGACAUAAAUCUCUGCUUCUAGUGACACACUCUUCUUCUUUCUGUCACAAGCUCGCAGGAACCGAGUGGAUGAAAUAGACCCAUCUAAUAGAUAAGACAUUAUAAACACUAAUAUCACAAAUACAUGUCACGGCCAGGGCAGCCUCUGCCCGUUCCCUCCCCUCUCCACCCCGGAGAUGCUUUUGGUACAAAAGAAUGAGUAGAUCCUCACCCAGAUUCUCUUUUCAGAGACUGCGGGAGGUAGCCCUGCCCUGGAAUUUGACCUAACCUCCAAAAUAAAG